AGGCGACGGGGGGAGGCAUCUCCGGAGACGGUGGGGGACUUGUAGACGAUUUCGGCUCCAUGGUCAGUCUUGGCUUUGGCAUUCUCGCGGAAGGUCAGCUUGUGAGACUCGAUCUGCACAAAGAAGAGGCACAGGGUGGAGAAAUCAGUGGGGCGCAAAAGGGCGUCAGCAACAAAAUUAACUGAAUUAAAACCUACAUCAAAGAAAUGGGAAGGGGGGCGAGGAAAGGAACAGAUCUGCAAAACGCAUCGAAGGAGAGGGGGAAAUUUCACUGAGCCCAUAGAGAGAGAAAGAGGACGACAGGGCCAGGUUUGGAGCUAGGUGGGAAAAGGAAAUCCCAUUUGCUAUGAGAAAGGAGAUGCCCAGAGACACGAUCCAAAGCAGAUUCAUAGGGAGAAAUGCAAUCAGAGCCACAGCUGUAACAGCAGCACUGAGGCCUGGUCUGCGCUGAAAAGUUUUGCCGCACCUGAACAUAGCUGUAAGAAUCAGCAUCCCAAACCCAUCCUGUGGUCCUAAAACAUCCUGCAGUCUCUAAGGGGAGGUCUACUCUGCUACCAGAGAAGUGAUUGCUCGCCCACCAGGCUAGCUGGAUUCUAGCUAGCUCAGCUAAAGGUAAAAGCGAAGAUGUGACCGCAUGGGCCCACAAGGUGAGGACGUACCCAGGAGUUGAGCUAGCAUUUGGGUAUUCCUCCCCGUGCUGCAAUCAUGCCGUGUACACAUCCAGUGUAGACACAUCCACGCUCACCCAACAAAUGUAGAUUAUUUAGGCGAGUAUGUACGCUGUCUGGAUAUGUGUCACCCCAUAACUUCGGCAAGUCUAUCCUGUGGGGAGGACCUCUGGGACAGAAGCAUAUGCAUUUUCCAAAUAUCUGUUUUCCCACCUCUGUUGG